GACGAACGCUGGCGGCGUGCUUAACACAUGCAAGUCGAACGGGCCUUGUCCCCUUUUUUUUUGGGGGUGGGGUUAGUGGCGAACGGGUGAGUAACACGUGAGUAACCUGCCCCUCACUUCUGGAUAACCGCUUGAAAGGGUGGCUAAUACGGGGUGUUCUGGCCUGCUCGCAUGGGUGGGUUUGGAAAGUUUCGACCGGUUUGGUUGUUUUGGUGGGGGAUGGGCUCGCGGCCUAUCAGCUUGUUGGUGGGGUGAUGGCCUGCCAAGGCUUUGACGGGUAGCCGGCCUGGGAGGGUGGGCGGUCACACUGGGACUGAGACACGGCCCAGACUCCUACGGGAGGCAGCAGUGGGGAAUAGUGCACAAUGGGCGCAAGCCUGAUGCAGCGACGCCGCGUGAGGGAUGGAGGCCUUCGGGUUGUGAACCUCAUUCGCCAGUGAAGAAGGUCCUGCUCUUUGUGGUGGGGUUGACGGUAGCUGGGUUAAUGAAGCGCCGGCUAACUACGUG
rnacentral:rRNA from 1 species